GUGGGGAAUCUUAGACAAUGGGCGCAAGCCUGAUCUAGCCAUGCCGCGUGAGCGAUGAAGGCCUUAGGGUUGUAAAGCUCUUUCGUGGGGGAAGAUAAUGACUGUACCCCAAGAAGAAGCCCCGGCUAACUCCGUGCCAGCAGCCGCGGUAAUACGGAGGGGGCUAGCGUUGUUCGGAAUUACUGGGCGGAAAGCGCACGUAGGCGGACUGGAAAGUCAGGGGUGAAAUCCCGGGGCUCAACCCCGGAACUGCCUUUGAGACUCCUGGUCUUGAGGUCGAGAGAGGUGGGUGGAAUUCCGAGUGUAGAGGUGAAAUUCGUAGAUAUUCGGAGGAACACCAGUGGCGAAGGCGGCCCACUGGCUCGAUACUGACGCUGAGGUGCGAAAGCGUGGGGAGCAAACAGGAUUAGAAACCCCGGUAGUCC
rnacentral:rRNA from 1 species